GAUGAACGCUGGCGGCGUGCCUAAUACAUGCAAGUCGAGCGAACAGACGAGGAGCUUGCUCCUCUGACGUUAGCGGCGGACGGGUGAGUAACACGUGGAUAACCUACCUAUAAGACUGGGAUAACUUCGGGAAACCGGAGCUAAUACUGGAUAAUAUAUUGAACCGCAUGGUUCAAUAGUGAAAGACGGUUUUGCUGUCACUUAUAGAUGGAUCCGCGCCGCAUUAGCUAGUUGGUAAGGUAACGGCUUACCAAGGCAACGAUGCGUAGCCGACCUGAGAGGGUGAUCGGCCACACUGGAACUGAGACACGGUCCAGACUCCUACGGGAGGCAGCAGUAGGGAAUCUUCCGCAAUGGGCGAAAGCCUGACGGAGCAACGCCGCGUGAGUGAUGAAGGUCUUCGGAUCGUAAAACUCUGUUAUUAGGGGAGAACAAAUGUGUAAGUAACUAUGCACGUCUUGACGGUACCUAAUCAGAAAGCCACGGCUAACUACGUG
rnacentral:rRNA from 1 species